AUCGCUUACCGGCCUUUUGGCUAAGAUCAAGAGUAGUAUCUGUUCUUGUUAGUUUAAUAUCUGAUAAGUCCUCUAUCCGAGGACAACAUAUUAAAUGGAUUUUUGGAGCAGGGAGAUGGAAUAGGAACUUGCUCCGUCCACUCCGCGCAUUGACCCGGUAUUGCAGUACCUCCGGGAACGGUGCGCACACA